UAAUGACUCUCGGCAACGGAUAUCUCGGCUCUUGCAUCGAUGAAGAACGUAGCGAAAUGCGAUACUUGGUGUGAAUUGCAGAAUCCCGUGAACCAUCGAGUCUUUGAACGCAAGUUGCGCCCCAAGCUGUUAGGCUGAGGGCACGUCUGCCUGGGUGUCACG
rnacentral:rRNA from 1 species